UGCCAGCAGCCGCGGUAAUACGGAGGGGGCUAGCGUUGUUCGGAAUUACUGGGCGUAAAGCGCGCGUAGGCGGACUGGUCAGUUGGGGGUGAAAUCCCAAGGCUCAACCUUGGAACUGCCUUCAAAACUGCCAGUCUUGAGUCCGGGAGAGGUGAGUGGAAUUCCUAGUGUAGAGGUGAAAUUCGUAGAUAUUAGGAAGAACACCAGUGGCGAAGGCGGCUCACUGGCUCGAUACUGACGCUGAGGUGCGAAAGCGUGGGGAGCAAACAGGAUUAGAUA
rnacentral:rRNA from 1 species